rnacentral:rRNA from 1 species
UACGGGGGGGGCAAGCGUUGUUCGGAAUUACUGGGCGUAAAGGGCUCGUAGGCGGCCAACUAAGUCAGACGUGAAAUCCCUCGGCUUAACCGGGGAACUGCGUCUGAUACUGGAUGGCUUGAGUUCGGGAGAGGGAUGCGGAAUUCCAGGUGUAGCGGUGAAAUGCGUAGAUAUCUGGAGGAACACCGGUGGCGAAGGCGGCAUCCUGGACCGACACUGACGCUGAGGAGCGAAAGCCAGGGGGGCAAACGGG